UGAUAUCGCGGCUUGCUUUUACCAUGGCUGCCGUUUUACGGUGCAUGUGGUUGCAUGCAAGGGUGCAGACCUGAUUUCGUGAAUAUAUUUAGGUUUUCCUGUCUGGCCGCAACUCACGCCGCUUUUUCGUAGGGACCACAGAGUGACUGAAAGAAUACUGGCCGCUCAAUUUUGUGGCACAUUUCCUUGGCUCGUGGUUCGAACAAGGCAGGGACGGACACACAGGUCAAGCUACGUUUCCCAGCAGACGAGGGCGACUUUCCCGUGGCUCAUGGUUCCAACAACGGGGGGACGAACAGCCGGGCCAAGUUCCAUUUCCCAGGUGACAAGAACCUUCUCGUGGCUCGUGAUGCAAACAACGGGGGGACGGACAGCCGGGCCAAUUAUCCGCAUCCCAGCAAACAAGGCGAGCACAAUC